rnacentral:rRNA from 1 species
CCUACGGGAGGCAGCAGUGAGGAAUAUUGGUCAAUGGACGAGAGUCUGAACCAGCCAAGUAGCGUGAAGGAUGACUGCCCUAUGGGUUGUAAACUUCUUUUAUAUGGGAAUAAAAUGUUCCACGUGUGGGAUUUUGUAUGUACCAUAUGAAUAAGGAUCGGCUAACUCGGUGCCAGCAGCCGCGGUAAUACGGAGGAUCCGAGCGUUAUCCGGAUUUAUUGGGUGUAAAGGGAGCGUAGGUGGAUUGUUAAGUCAGUUGUGAAAGUUUGCGGCUCAACCGUAAAAUUGCAGUUGAAACUGGCAGUCUUGAGUACAGUAGAGGUGGGCGGAAUUCGUGGUGUAGCGGUGAAAUGCUUAGAUAUCACGAAGAACUCCGAUUGCGAAGGCAGUUCACUGGACUGCAACUGACACUGAGGCUCGAAAGUGUGGGUAUCAAACAGGAUUAGAUACCCUUGUAGUC